GUCGUCGUGGCCGAGUGGUUAAGGCGACAGACUUGAAAUCUGUUGGGAUCUACCCGCACAGGUUCGAAUCCUGUCGGCGACG
rfam:Ciona savignyi cont_32640, whole genome shotgun sequence.